rnacentral:rRNA from 1 species
UACGAAGGGGGCUAGCGUUGCUCGGAAUCACUGGGCGUAAAGCGCACGUAGGCGGAUUGCUAAGUCAGGGGUGAAAUCCUGGAGCUCAACUCCAGAACUGCCCUUUGAUACUGGCGAUCUCGAGUCCGGGAGAGGUGAGUGGAACUGCGAGUGUAGAGGUGAAAUUCGUAGAUAUUCGCAAAGAACACCAGUGGCGAAGGCGGCUCACUGGCCCGGUACUGACGCUGAGGUGCGAAAAGCGUGGGGAGCAAACAGG